rnacentral:rRNA from 1 species
AUUGAACGCUGGUGGCAGGCCUAACACAUGCAAGUCGAGCGAGCGGCGGACGGGUGAGUAAUGUAUGGGGACUGCCCGAUAGAGGGGGAUAACUACUGGAAACGGUAGCUAAUACCGCAUACUAUCGGAUAACCCAUAUGGGAUUAGCUAGUUGGUGAGGUAAUGGCUCACCAAGGCGACGAUCCCUAGCUGGUCUGAGAGGAUGAUAAGCCACACUGUGACUGAGACACGGCCCAGACUCCGACUGUGGCAGUAGUGGUGAAUAUUGCACGAUGGGCGCAAGCCUGAUGCAGCCAUGCCGCGUGUAUGAAGAAGGUCCUAGGGUUUGAAAGUACUUUCAGUCGGGAGGCGUUACCGACAGAAGAAGCACCGGCUAACUCCGUGCCAGCAGCCGCGGUAAUAC